CUAUAAAGCUGAAGUAAGAGCCUUAGGCCGCAAGCUGAGUCCUACCGCAGAAUUACUGGAACGUCACACGUUUCCUGGUCCCGUAUUGUCUAUUCGAAUCAAUUACGCCGAAGAACCGUUUUUGGAAGCUGAUUUAGAUGAGACUGAUUUUCGAUGAGAUGGUCGUUUGAUGGUGUCGCCAAUUUUGUCGUUGUGUCGGACUGCUUAUCCAGAAGAAAUAAGUUGAAUUAUUGGCGAUACGUUUGUCAAAGUGGCAGAUAGAACGGCUAACGAUUUAAAUCUCACUUAGGAUAAUCUACUUCUCAGACAAGAUACUUUGAUGCCUGAUUUAAUUGAGACCGCUUCGAAUAUGGGUUCUUCGCACGCUGAUGCCACAAAGACUCAUCAUAAUGAUUCCGAAAUGGUUCGUCAAUUUCGCAUUCACGAUCGUCUAGUAGAACCUCUAGAAGACUUCCAUAAAGAUGAAUUAAGAGACUUAGGUCCAUGUCGAUGUCACAGGGAUUCAGUUUGUAAGUGCCGUGUGACAAGUCUUGUCGUCACUUUUAAAGUUCGCGAGGAAUAAACAACGAACUCUUUUAAGGAUCAACAAUGUUUUCUAGAAAUGAUCCGCCAAACAGUAUGGCCAUCUAUUGGUACUAUAUUCAGUUUUACCACGUCGGGGUUUGGUAAGGACCAUUCGAGUUUAGAAUAAGGAGUUAAGGACUGUGCAGAGUGCAGACUACAGAUUGCAUUUACAGUGCAGCUUCUGCUAUGAGAGCCAAGCAAAGCAAUUCACCUAGGAGGCAAUCCAAACCCAACCCAAUGAUAAGAUAAGAAGGAUAUGACCUCGAAGAGCAAGUUUACUGCAUCUGCUAUACCUCAGAUGCCAGCAGAUAUAUUGUGCAAAUAUUGCUGAAGAGAAAUCCUGCUUCAUCAGAAAGGUUUCCUGUCUGGCAAAGGGAUCCUAACUUAAGUACCGAAUACAAACAGAAACACUGGAAGAUGUAAGGAAGGAGGAAUCAGCAAAGAAGGCAAAAUAAAAAGACAUGAAGGAUAAACUUGUAUAUAACUGCAGCAAAUGUGACUCUAGUCAAGGAAAACCACGUCAGCAAUGACAGUACCGAGUCUGUCUCACUUUUGCCCCCGAGUUUCAAAUUUGGUGUUUUCAAAUUUUCUUUCAUUGUUGACUGAAUCUCAUUUAGCAGAAAAAUGUUAAGACAGUAGCGUAAGUAGAGGAAAUUACCGUAAAACCGACCUUGAAAACCUCGAGCACGGAAAUAAGCAAACGGUAUUUAGGCAGAUAAUCAUGCACGCAAAGAUAAAUAGUCCAAUUUAAUUGAAUUGCCUUAACAUAUUUUACCUGACCAUUCGCUUAAGACGACUUUUGGUCAACCAUUGUUGCGGACCAUAUCUUAUAAAUACGUCGCGUCCGGGAAGUAAGAACUGCAGUGACCAGUUGGCUGACCGGUGCGUUGCAAAAAUCUAAGAAGUUCGAUGAUACUGAUGGAUGCGAGUAUCUUUUACUACGGGAAGUCUUUGAAGAGAAAAAGCUGGGAGAAACUUGGAAGGCCGAAAUCCAUAUGGAAAGAGUACGCCAGUGGCUUCAACUGGAUGAGUUGUUCGAAAAAGAACGACAGAUUUAAGCUGCGAAUGCUCAGUUAGGUGGACUUUUACCACUUACACUUCAUUCAGCUUUCAACUAUGAAUACAUGCAGCAACAAUACUCCAGACACCACUGCGCAAACUGGCGAGACCAUUGAAAACAAUUUAAAAAAACACCAUCAUAGAAGACAUGUUUACAUAUGCUAUUUCACGUGCUUUUUUACUGCUUUAUAUGGCUUCUUUUGAUUCUGUGGUCACGUGUCCUUUUGCCUACUUCUGAAAUUAAGAAAUUCUUACAACUCGUGGUGUUUGUAAAUUUGGAUAAUAGAUGGCGCGACGCUACUGCGCCUCUGCCUUUGUGUUGUGAAAAAACUAAGACUGACAAGUGAAACCCGUGUCUGAAUAUUUGUUAACUUUGUUACAUUCCAGUGAUAAGUUUGUAAAAUUAAAUGGUGUUAUUUCAACUAUUGAAAGUUUUUCAUUCUCUUCUGUGUUUUUGAAGUAAGAAACGUCAAGUGGAUUAUUUUGUGUGCAAUGGGUUAACUUGUGAUCAGCUAUGCCGGCUGCCAAAUCCAACCUAUUACUUUUACAUUCCACCAUGCAAUUUUAUUGCAUGUUGAAAGAAGUAGUUGGUGAAACCUAAAUAGCAAUGGAUACUAACGGUGAAGAAAGUUUUGAUCUGAAAAGUGCACCAUGUUGUGUUGCAAACCAUUAACCAUUUCAACAAUCUUCUCGUCAUUUCUACUUAGCCUAUCAAAUGGCAGGAAUUUGAGUUACAGGCUCGUGUAUCUAAAAUGAAAAGGAUAGGAUGCUGGCCUCAAAGGAAGAUCAUCAACAAUGCAAAAUCAAUGGAUUAGAAUACCUCAUGUCAUUCUAUACAUUUGCCCACUUAUAAUCUCAUUUAACAGGCGUCUUUGCUUCGCCCGUCGCCCCGUCUUCGCUUUGCCCGUCACCCCGUCUUUGCUUCGCCCGUCGCCCCGUCUUCGAUUCGCCCGUCGCCCCGUCUUCGCCUCGCCCGUCGCCCCGUCUUCGCCUCGCCCGUCGCCCCGUCUUCGCCUCGCCCGUCGCCCCGUCUUCGCCUCGCCCGUCGCCCCGUCUUCGCCUCGUGGUCGCCUUGUCAUCGUGGUAUCUUUGUAUUUUGUAAUGUUUAGUGCUAAUUAACCCGUUGGCUGCCACCCACUUUGAUCCCCUUUUUUUUUAAAGCUUGUUAGGGUCCGGCAGCGCUGUUCUGCCCAAUGGUCUAUAUGCCAUGGGUGGGACAGUUGCACAAGCCGUGUGGCUCAAAGUCGAUCGUCGAGGCAAUGUACCAGUAGGGACUUUCCCUUUUUCGAUGCUUUGAUGGUUGCCUGGAGUGUACAUUCUCACAAAGGCUUCUGUCAUCGUGUCAGCCCGGAUUUGUCGUAGGACAAGUCCCCCUUGGUCGCUAUCCAUUCGAUAGCGAUGUAGCUAGCGUAGAUUUAGUGGCGUGGCAGCCAACGGGUUAGUUUUAUGUAUGUGUGUUUUGUAUUGUAUUGUAUUUAAAAUCUAAAAUCUUGUGGUGGAUUUGUGGGUGGAUGGAGGGACAAUAAA
rnacentral:lncRNA from 1 species